AUGAUAGUUUACUGCUCUCUGCCAAAAGAAAGGUGGAUGAGAAGAUUUCUCUUACUGUCCUUAAGCUAUGACACUAAUGGAGAAGGAAAGAAAUCUAAGCCGAGCUCCCACUGACUCCCUCCUGUCCACGACGGAUUACCUGGUAUCGAUGAAUACGAACUUCUGACCUGCCUCUGCAAUGCAGUGAAGUGUUGGCUGACCCACAAGACUCAAUGAAAAGCAGGGAGGAGUGGCAGGAGAGGACUGGCAAAGACGGAAGCACACUCCUCUAUAUUCUUUUCAAGUCCACCUUCACUAACCAAAUGGGAUGGGAAGAGAGAGGCAGAGUAGCCCUGACUCUCUCCCUCCUAAAAUGGUCGAUGGAAAGUCUUCCUAGUUUUCAAGUGCCUUUUAUGUCUUCAUCUGCCCUAUCUCUGAGACUUUACCCUGAUCAAUUAAAACUCAAUCCCAGUAGAGAAAUAUCUUCAUCACAACAGUCACUAAGUAAAAACACUGGCAAUGACAACACAGAAAACAGAACAAAUAAUCGUGACAACAA